rnacentral:lncRNA from 1 species
GGUGAGUGUCCUAAAUCUGAUCUAGGAUUUUUGAUGAGGAAAAAACCAAAAGAGAAAGUAGUUCUCCAUCCUAUUUUCCUCCACCGCAUCAUCCUUCUUGUCCUUCUUUGAUUUUCGAAAGAGUCCAAGAAAUCUGAAGAGAGGAAUAGAUCAGCCACCAGUAAGAUCGUUGAGUGAGCUAGCACUCCCAGGAUGAUAGAUCAGUAUAGGGCUUCGAC